AAUGUAUUCUUUGUCUCGACUGAUCAGUGGAUACUUAGACAGUAAUUUGAAGUAAUUUUCAGCCAAAACUUGGAAGUAGUGAGCAGGAGCAUGGACAGGAAAAAAUAAAGCAGAAUGUAGUGACUGGUGGAAUAUCAUACAAAGUCCAUACAAGAGGCUGUGUAUUGACAGCACUUCAACUCUGAUGUCCCUCUUCAGCACAUAGGAGAUCCUCACUCCAUCUUCCAGUGGGAUGCCACUCAGUAUGUCACUGCAACAAAGGAAGAAGUCACAAUCACAGAAUUGACAGGGCUGGAAGGGACCUCAAAGAUCAUGGAUCUCCAACCCCCCUGCCCGGAGAUGAAUAAGAUUUGAAAGAAAUGAAUAAUUGUCCCAUUUAAUUGUAGGUAUAAAGAGGCAAAAAAAAAAAACAAAAAUCUGAAGUAUGUUUUAAGCAGAAAUUAUGUGAUGGAUUCAGAAGAGUGACCCAGCAGUUUAACUCCCCAUUCCCUGUACCUGACUCACUGUGAGAAUUUUGGCCUUUUAUGCUGUUCACAGGAUCUUUGAGCAAAAAAUGAAAGUGUCUGUGCAACCAUCAGACAGGGUUGAAUCCCGAAAGAUGUGCUACUAAUAGAGAAAAAGGGCAGGAGGAGUCCAGAAAUAAGCUGCUGAGGAAAUGAGGAACACUACCAUAUUGUGUGACUGGACACAC
rnacentral:lncRNA from 1 species